UUUAAUAAUGGGAAAAUUGAGAUGACAGUGGAAGGACACAUUUUCUUCAACAGCCUGCAAGUAUCAUCCGGAUAUUUUCGAAAUGAGAACCGAACUGUAAGAAAACCAGUAUCUGGUGGAAGAGGUUGACUGUUCACCCCAGAGCAGGAGACCCACAUUGUAAAUAUGGUCAUUGCAAAUAACUGCAUGAGACUCAGAGAACUGCAGGACCACAUAAUGGCAGAUAACACCAUAUUCCAAAACGUCAACAGAAGUCAUGGAGCUAGAAGCAGAUGCAGUGCAUCAUGAGCUAAUAUAUGUGGACAAGGCAUGUUUCAACCUUGCAAAAACAAGGGGCCGUGGCAGAAAUAUCAUCAGACACCGUGCAAUCAUCAACAUCCCAGAACAACGUGGUGGCAACAUAACAAUGUGUGCGGUUAUUAGUCAAAACGGCGUCCUUCACCAUCAUGCAAUACCAGGCCCAUAUAACACUGCACACAUUAUCACAUUUCUGGACACCCUCAACAACAGACUAUUCCCUAAUGACCAAGGGUCAGAGCAGCCCAGGUACGUUAUCAUCUG
rnacentral:lncRNA from 1 species